rnacentral:rRNA from 1 species
CCUACGGGUGGCAGCAGUGGGGAAUAUUGGACAAUGGGCGAAAGCCUGAUCCAGCCAUGCCGCGUGUGUGAAGAAGGCCUUCGGGUUGUAAAGCACUUUCAGUGGGGAAGAAAGCCUUGGGGCUAAUACCCUCGAGGAAGGACAUCACCCACAGAAGAAGCACCGGCUAACUCCGUGCCAGCAGCCGCGGUAAUACGGAGGGUGCGAGCGUUAAUCGGAAUUACUGGGCGUAAAGCGCGCGUAGGCGGUCUGAUAAGCCGGUUGUGAAAGCCCCGGGCUCAACCUGGGAACGGCAUCCGGAACUGUCAGGCUAGAGUGAAGGAGAGGAAGGUAGAAUUCCCGGUGUAGCGGUGAAAUGCGUAGAGAUCGGGAGGAAUACCAGUGGCGAAGGCGGCCUUCUGGACUGACACUGACGCUGAGGUGCGAAAGCGUGGGUAGCAAACAGGAUUAGAUACCCCGGUAGUC